AAUGUUCCAGUCCCCUUUCUAAGCCUGGUAAUCGAUUACACCCCCUUGGUAAUCGAUUACCAGAAGCCCUCAUGGCUUCCUGACCUCGUUUUCAAGCCUGGUAAUGGAUUACACCCCGUUGGUAAUCGAUUACCAGAGACCAUCUUAGCCUCCUGUCUUCAAUUUUAAGCCUUGUAAUCGAUUACCAACCCUUGGUAAUCGAUUACCAGAGACCAUAUCUCACAUAUCAAUCAAGUUUCACAGCUGGCCAGCCACCAC
rnacentral:lncRNA from 1 species